AUGAAAGACAGUCGUGCUAAUGGUCUGGGGAGGAUUUUUAGGGGUAAUAGGGUUAGUUGUGUUGCUAAAUGUAAUGUUAUGAUCUCCAGGACUAGGGGUGGUUAUGUUGCUAGUUGUAGUGUUAUGGUCUCCAGGACUAGGGGUGGUUAUGUUGUUAGUUGUAGUGUUAUGGUCUCCAGGAAUACGGGUGGUAAUGCUGCUAAUUGUACUGUUAUGGUCUUCAGGAAUAUGAGUGGUAAUGCUGCUAAUUGUACUGUGAUGGUCUUCAGGGAUAUGAGUGGUAAUGCUGCUAAUUGUACUGUUAUGGUCUUCAGGGAUAUGAGUGGUAAUGCUGCUAAUUGUACUGUGAUGGUCUUCAGGGAUAUGAGUGGUAAUGCUGCUAAUUGUACUGUUAUGGUCUUCAGGGAUAUGAGUGGUAAUGCUGCUAAUUGUACUGUUAUGGUCUUCAGGGAUAUGAGUGGUAAUGCUGCUAAUUGUACUGUUAUGGUCUUCAGGGAUAUGAGUGGUUAUGCUACUAAAUGUAUUGAUUUUGUCAGGACUAGUGGCGGUGGUGGUGAGUGUCUGACUACUUGUGAUGCUGCCAGACGAAGUAAUUGCUGUAGAUGUAGUUGCAUCCCCGUCCCUUCCUAAACGGCUAGCCAUACUAACUAAGGCAGCUACGGUUGCUGUGGUACGUGCUACAAGAGGUAGUGUGGCUUUUAUUGGAAGUUGACCUAAGGAAUAAAGAACAUAUUUGUGAUUCCGGCUUUAUUUGAAUUAAUAGCAGUUUCUUAAGCUAUUUACAACCCUGUUUUUUUUUUAAACAAAUGAAUCAGGAUGCUACAAAGCAGAAGUAGAGAAGGUUGCCAUUUUCUUUACCUUCAGUAUAGGCGCGGUCCAGGUCAAGGGUUUUGGAUUUAUUUGAUUGGAUAUGUGUGUAAAAUAGACUUUUAACCAAAGUUGGAGUGAUCAUGAAUGUAGUCCCAAACAUUACUGUCGAGUUUGCAAUGACAGAUCCAUUACUGCAAGAGUGAGACCAGUAGUCAAAAAUAAUUUUAGCGUAUAAUUGUCAAUGUCCUUAAGAAUGCUAUUUUUUUUCAAUGGCAGAAUUUUAAAUUCAACAUUAGAGCUCACCUGAAGAUGAUAUCAAAUACACCCAUAUAUUUGUCAGACGCUGGUAAAGGGCUGUGGAUGUCAUCCACCUGAAAAAGAAAGACACAGCAAUCAGAGGAGCACUUUAAUAUUAUCCUACAGGCCUACAAGGCAUGUCUUCACACCUUUACUUGUUUGAAUAUUGAGGAACAGGUUGUAAGGGGGGUGUCUAUAGUAUCCUUGUCUAUGGUGUAGUGGAGUGGGUCAACUGGAGUGUGAGCUAGUAGUGAUGGCUCAUUUUGUUGUUGACUGCUAAAAUAGUGCUCACUGCUAGGUGUUGGAGAGCUGAUGAUGUUGGUGACAAAGAAAAGAGUGAAUAGAAUAGCCUUGGGAACAUCUAACUCUGGCAAUUUGACUGGUAAACUCAUGGGUACACUCACAAUGGUUGCUUGGUAUAAAUGCAGUAAAGACAUAAAUUGAACUUUUGGCCAAAACAAUGGAAAUGCCAUGGAGCAUUUCCAUUUUCUUGGAAAGCAUGAAGUAUCUCCAGGACAAAGAGUUAUUUUGUGGGUAUAGACUGAGUGAUGAGUUAAAGCUCUAUGGACUGACCUGAGCAGUAAAAAACACACUCUUACCAUUUGCUCCACCUGUUUCCUCAGCUGUUUGUACUCCUUAGAGCUUUGAUUAUUGAGUGACUCAGUGUAAAUCCGGUUGGUGAUUCUGACGCAUAUGUAGUAGGCGGACAGCGUAGCUGGGGUGGUCUCGUCAUUGCUGCUGGGUGUUGCCCUCCGUAAAUGGGAAACAGGCACAGCAUCCUCAAAGAAAAGGAGUGCUGUACGGGUGAAUGGAAAACAAGCCGAAAUUCUGAAAUUAGCAGAAAUACUGUUACACAGCCAUCUAAUAAAUUACUGCCAUUACCCUUAGAGACUGACUGAUUGAAGUGCCAAUUACAGCCAAUAAAGGAUGCCUUGUACCGUGGAAAUUAUUAUCUGUAAACAGACACUUUGAGUUGAAAGGGGGGGGGGGGGGGGGGGGGUCACCAUCUGUGACCUCAAUCAAUGCAAUAAUGCAAUAUUUAGACUAAUUUAAUCCAAAACAAAGUUUGCAAAUUUGUCUUCUCAGCGCGGGAAAUAAGUUGUUUUGUCUUAUCCCAAAUAUUUGAUUGAGUGGGGUUGAUUGUAAAUCUAUAAUACUGUUCUGCUACUGCAUAACCCUGAAGACACUUUAUACAUUAUGACAGAUUAUGACAAAUUAUGAUAGAUGCUUUGCUACGAUUUAAAAAUCUUGUCAAUGUGGGUUUUAACUCCAGUGUAUUGAUAUCACUUGAGGCACCUGAGGAAGCAAUUUAAAGUAAAAAAAAAAAUAACAAGGCAAAAUGUCAUCAAAAAGGCUCCUGAGCAGCCGGGGACAAGAGAAUCAUGAAAAAGUGGUAUUCUGGUUGUGUGCUGAUAAGGUUUUACUCUCCGUAAACCUCAGUAUGAUUUACUUAGAUACAGGUAACUGACAACAUAAAGGAAAAACCAACAUAAAGUGUCUUAAUAGGGUUUUGGGCCACCACGAGCCAGGACAGCUUCAAUGCACCUUGGCAUAGAUUCUACUAGUGUCUGGAACUCUAAUGGAGGGAUGCAACACCAUUCUCAGUUUACAAUCAUAGCCUGAAUAAAAGCAGGCUUCAGGUAAUGCAUGAGAUUGCCAUGAUUUUUUCAGACCUGUUUAGCAUAUGUUUUCGGUCCUGUUGAUUGUCACAUUAACAAUUGAACCCCCAUCUGACUCCCACGUCUAAGAAGUGUAGGUUACAGUACAACAAUGCUUCCCAUGAAACAGUGGUUCCCAACCUUUUUGGGUUACUGUUUCACCGACAGAAUUUUGCUCUGCCCGGAGUACCCCUGAAGUACCCCCUCAUGUGCAUUUUACCAGUAGGACUAUGGUCUCAUGAGUCUUCUCAAGUACCCUCUGUGGAUAGGCCGAUUACCUCCAGGGGUCCUAGUACCCCUGGUUGGGAAUCACUGCCAUACAACAGAAGUCUCUAAAGAAAUGUAAUGUGUAAAUGUGUUAUAGUCUACAUAUUUUAGUAAAAUCAAUAAAUGAAGAUGCAUGGAAGAGUAGAUAGAUAGAUAGAUAGAUUUAUGUUUUCUGUCAUACCUGAAACAGCCAAAGUAAGAAUAAUCCCAAAUUUGAUUGGUCUUUUCUCCAUGAUGUAUCAAACUGGUAGACUAACGUUUUUUUUAAAAUAAAAGACAAAUAUACACAGUGGACGUUGGGAAUUAGCCGGGUUGCUUACUUGAUGAGAAACGAUUUAUGUCUGAAAGAAACUGUUAUUUUAUCAUCCAGAUAAGUGUGCAGGUAGGACAGGUAUAUGGCGCGGGGCGGACCCUAGAG
rnacentral:lncRNA from 1 species